GAAUAUCUUUAUGUCAAUAUUUAAUUUGUAAACUUUUAAAUUCUUAUGCUAUAUUUUUAUCAUUAUAUUGGAAUUAAUUUCAGGGGUAUUUAACAGAAUGCAUACAUUGCAUCACAUGGCCCAAUUGAUAAAACCUUGGAAGAUUUUUGGAGAAUGAUCUGGGAAAAGAAUGUUUCUACAAUUGUUAUGCUCACUAAGUUAGUGGAGGGAAGGACAAUAAAAUGCACCCAAUAUUGGACAAAAGAGGGCACCAGUUCUCAAGUAGGAGACAUCAUCAUAUACACAGAAGCAGAAAAUGUUUUUUCCACCUUUACUGUUAGACGUCUGAGAAUUUCAAAUGUGAAUAAUCCUGACAAAGAAAGGAUAAUCACUCAACACCACUAUACAGCCUGGCCAGGUUAAAAUACCUGAACGUUAUAAAAGAGGGGAUCCGUUGGGAGCAGCUAAAACACAUUCAAAAAGUAAUAAUUGUAGACUCACUCGGCGGGUGCUUGAUUGAGACAGUUCAUAGGAGAAAGUAUACAGAGAGGACAAUUUAAAGAUUCAUUGUCACCGGCUUAGCAAUAUUCAAUGUUCAAUUUUAUCAAAAGGAAAAAAAGUCCGGAUAAAAAUAUAUUACAAUGUAAUUUUGUUUCAGUGCUGGAGUCGGACGUACUGGGACAUUUAUUGCAAUAGACAAGCUAUAUGAUCAGGCCACCGAUCAAGGGUUUAUAGACAUAUUUCAAUGUGUGAAAGAUUUACGAGAGCAAAGAGUUAAUAUGGUACAAUCAAAGGUUUAUAUAUAUCUCGAUUUUUAUUGCCUGUCCUAAGAGCACUUUUUUAUUCUGUACAAUUGAAUUAUCAAAAUUUCCUAAACCUUUUCCAAACAAUUUAUGUUUUUUUAUUCCUUAUUUGCUCAAAUGUCUAAUUUAUGCUAUGGGAAAUGCGUUUUUACUAAUAAGAAUUUGCAGUAAUGUUUGACUUUUCUAGUAUCAAAUAUUUCAUUUUGUUAGAACCAGUACAUGUUUUUACACAAAAUCAUGUUAGAGAUUUUGGUUUUGUGGUCACCUCCCGUAAAAUGUGAAAAGUUUAUUGAUGCGUAUGCUGAGCUUACUAAAGAAGAUGACGUGACGCACAAAACAAAACUGUUGUUGCAAUUUGAGGCUUUAAAAGAUGAAACAUUAAUAGAAAGUCAGUCAGAAGAAGAGUUACACGACAGAUAACAGCUUCGUCCUCUCGCCAUUUGACAGCAAUGCGAUCCAAUACUUGCAGUUAGUAGACAAGCAGGAGGUUAAUCUAAUAGUUGCUUUAUCUAAAGACACGGAU